GGUCUGAGAGGAUGAUCAGCCACACUGGAACUGAGACACGGUCCAGACUCCUACGGGAGGCAGCAGUGGGGAAUAUUGCACAAUGGGGGAAACCCUGAUGCAGCAACGCCGCGUGGAGGAUGACGCAUUUCGGUGUGUAAACUCCUUUUAUAUAGGAAGAUAAUGACGGUACUAUAUGAAUAAGCACCGGCUAACUCCGUGCCAGCAGCCGCGGUAAUACGGAGGGUGCAAGCGUUACUCGGAAUCACUGGGCGUAAAGCGCGCGCAGGCGGCCUUUUAAGUUGGAUGUGAAAGCCUACGGCUCAACCGUAGAACUGCAUCCAAAACUACUAGGCUAGAGUGUGGGAGAGGAAGAUGGAAUUAGUUGUGUAGGGGUAAAAUCCGUAGAGAUAACUAGGAAUACCAAAAGCGAAGGCAAUCUUCUGGAACAUUACUGACGCUGAGGCGCGAAAGCGUGGGGGAGCAAACAGGAUUAGAUACCCUGGUAGUCCACGCCCUAAACGAUGAAUGUUAGUCGUCGGGUAGCUAGUCUAUUCGGUGAUGCAGCUAACGCAUUAAACAUUCCGCCUGGGGAGUACGGUCGCAAGAUUAAAACUCCAAANGAUUAGACGGGGACCCCGCACAAGUGGUGGAGCAUGUGGUUUAAUUCGAAGAUACGCGAAGAACCUUACCUAGCCUUGACAUAUUUAAGAACACUUUAGAGAUAGAGUGGUGCCUUCGGGAGCUUUUAUACAGGUGCUGCACGGCUGUCGUCAGCUCGUGUCGUGAGAUGUUGGGUUAAGUCCCGCAACGAGCGCAACCCUCGUCACUAGUUACUAACGGUUCGGCCGAGGACUCUAGUGAGACUGCCUUCGCAAGGAGGAGGAAGGUGAGGACGACGUCAAGUCAUCAUGGCCCUUACGGCUAGGGCAACACACGUGCUACAAUGGCCAGGACAAUGAGAAGCAAUACCGCGAGGUGGAGCAAAUCUAUAAACCUGGUCUCAGUUCGGAUUGUUCUCUGCAACUCGAGAGCAUGAAGCUGGAAUCACUAGUAAUCGUAGAUCAGCUAUGCUACGGUGAAUACGUUCCCGGGUCUUGUACUCACCGCCCGUCACACCAUGGGAGUUGAUUUCA
rnacentral:rRNA from 1 species